rnacentral:rRNA from 1 species
UAUGUAGGUGGCAAGCGUUGUCCGGAUUUACUGGGCGUAAAGGAUGCGUAGGCGGACAUUUAAGUCAGAUGUGAAAUCCCCGAGCUUAACUUGGGUGCUGCAUUUGAAACUGGGUGUCUAGAGUGCAGGAGAGGUAAGUGGAAUUCCUAGUGUAGCGGUGAAAUGCGUAGAGAUUAGGAAGAACACCAGUGGCGAAGGCGACUUACUGGACUGUAACUGACGCUGAGGCAUGAAAGCGUGGGGAGCAAACAGG